rnacentral:rRNA from 1 species
GACAGCCCCGUACACAAAAAUGCACAUGCUGUGAGCUCGAUGAGUAGGGCGGGACACGUGGUAUCCUGUCUGAAUAUGGGGGGACCAUCCUCCAAGGCUAAAUACUCCUGACUGACCGAUAGUGAACCAGUACCGUGAGGGAAAGGCGAAAAGAACCCCGGCGAGGGGAGUGAAAAAGAACCUGAAACCGUGUACGUACAAGCAGUGGGAGCACAGAGCAAUCUGUGUGACUGCGUACCUUUUGUAUAAUGGGUCAGCGACUUAUAUUCUGUAGCAAGGUUAACCGAAUAGGGGAGCCGAAGGGAAACCGAGUCUUAACUGGGCGUUAAGUUGCAGGGUAUAGACCCGAAACCCGGUGAUCUAGCCAUGGGCAGGUUGAAGGUUGGGUAACACUAACUGGAGGACCGAACCGACUAAUGUUGAAAAAUUAGCGGAUGACUUGUGGCUGGGGGUGAAAGGCCAAUCAAACCGGGAGAUAGCUGGUUCUCCCCGAAAGCUAUUUAGGUAGCGCCUCGUGAAUUCAUCUCCGGGGGUAGAGCACUGUUUCGGCAAGGGGGUCAUCCCGACUUACCAACCCGAUGCAAACUGCGAAUACCGGAGAAUGUUAUCACGGGAGACACACGGCGGGUGCUAACGUCCGUCGUGAAGAGGGAAACAACCCAGACCGCCAGCUAAGGUCCCAAAGUCAUGGUUAAGUGGGAAACGAUGUGGGAAGGCCCAGACAGCCAGGAUGUUGGCUUAGAAGCAGCCAUCAUUUAAAGAAAGCGUAAUAGCUCACUGGUCGAGUCGGCCUGCGCGGAAGAUGUAACGGGGCUAAACCAUGCACCGAAGCUGCGGCAGCGACGCUGAUGCGUUGUUGGGUAGGGGAGCGUUCUGUAAGCCUGUGAAGGUGUACUGUGAGGUAUGCUGGAGGUAUCAGAAGUGCGAAUGCUGACAUAAGUAACGAUAAAGCGGGUGAAAAGCCCGCUCGCCGGAAGACCAAGGGUUCCUGUCCAACGUUAAUCGGGGCAGGGUGAGUCGACCCCUAAGGCGAGGCCGAAAGGCGUAGUCGAUGGGAAACAGGUUAAUAUUCCUGUACUUGGUGUUACUGCGAAGGGGGGACGGAGAAGGCUAUGUUGGCCGGGCGACGGUUGUCCCGGUUUAAGCGUGUAGGCUGGUUUUCCAGGCAAAUCCGGAAAAUCAAGGCUGAGGCGUGAUGACGAGGCACUACGGUGCUGAAGCAACAAAUGCCCUGCUUCCAGGAAAAGCCUCUAAGCAUCAGGUAACAUCAAAUCGUACCCCAAACCGACACAGGUGGUCAGGUAGAGAAUACCAAGGCGCUUGAGAGAACUCGGGUGAAGGAACUAGGCAAAAUGGUGCCGUAACUUCGGGAGAAGGCACGCUGAUAUGUAGGUGAAGUCCCUCGCGGAUGGAGCUGAAAUCAGUCGAAGAUACCAGCUGGCUGCAACUGUUUAUUAAAAACACAGCACUGUGCAAACACGAAAGUGGACGUAUACGGUGUGACGCCUGCCCGGUGCCGGAAGGUUAAUUGAUGGGGUUAGCGCAAGCGAAGCUCUUGAUCGAAGCCCCGGUAAACGGCGGCCGUAACUAUAACGGUCCUAAGGUAGCGAAAUUCCUUGUCGGGUAAGUUCCGACCUGCACGAAUGGCGUAAUGAUGGCCAGGCUGUCUCCACCCGAGACUCAGUGAAAUUGAACUCGCUGUGAAGAUGCAGUGUACCCGCGGCAAGACGGAAAGACCCCGUGAACCUUUACUAUAGCUUGACACUGAACAUUGAGCCUUGAUGUGUAGGAUAGGUGGGAGGCUUUGAAGUGUGGACGCCAGUCUGCAUGGAGCCGACCUUGAAAUACCACCCUUUAAUGUUUGAUGUUCUAACGUUGGCCCCUGAUCGGGGUUGCGGACAGUGUCUGGUGGGUAGUUUGACUGGGGCGGUCUCCUCCUAAAGAGUAACGGAGGAGCACGAAGGUUGGCUAAUCCUGGUCGGACAUCAGGAGGUUAGUGCAAUGGCAUAAGCCAGCUUGACUGCGAGCGUGACGGCGCGAGCAGGUGCGAAAGCAGGUCAUAGUGAUCCGGUGGUUCUGAAUGGAAGGGCCAUCGCUCAACGGAUAAAAGGUACUCCGGGGAUAACAGGCUGAUACCGCCCAAGAGUUCAUAUCGACGGCGGUGUUUGGCACCUCGAUGUCGGCUCAUCACAUCCUGGGGCUGAAGUAGGUCCCAAGGGUAUGGCUGUUCGCCAUUUAAAGUGGUACGCGAGCUGGGUUUAGAACGUCGUGAGACAGUUCGGUCCCUAUCUGCCGUGGGCGCUGGAGAAUUGAGGGGGGCUGCUCCUAGUACGAGAGGACCGGAGUGGACGCAUCACUGGUGUUCGGGUUGUCAUGCCAAUGGCACUGCCCGGUAGCUAAAUGCGGAAGAGAUAAGUGCUGAAAGCAUCUAAGCACGAAACUUGCCCCGAGAUGAGUUCUCCCUGACUCCUUGAGAGUCCUGAAGGAACGUUGAAGACGACGACGUUGAUAGGCCGGGUGUGUAAGCGCAGCGAUGCGUUGAGCUAACCGGUACUAAUGAACCGUGAGGCUUAACCUU